rnacentral:ncRNA from 2 species
CGCUCAUCCAGAGGGGCAGAGGGACACGGCCCGAUGAAGCCCCGGCAACCCUCCAGUCGGUUCUCGUAGAUCAGCGUCGAUCGUCACGCCGAUCGUCUUCGCGAGGCUCCCGGCUAGGGAAGGUGCCAAAUCCGUCUCACGGCGAGAUGCGUCGUGAGGAAGAUGAGGA